rnacentral:rRNA from 1 species
UUUAGGGUUCGAUUCCGGAGAGGCAGCCUGAGAAACGGCUACCACUUCCAAGGAAGGCAGCAGGCGCGUAAAUUAUCCAAUCCCGAUUCGGGGAGAUAGUGACAAGAAAUACUGAUGUAGGGCCUUUUGGGUUCUACUAUCGGAAUGAGUACAACAUUAAAACCAUUAGCGAGGAACAAUUGGAGGGCAAGUCUGGUGCCAGCAGCA